CUUGCUGUAGAUUGAUUCAUUUGAGGUGACUGAGUGGCGGACGGGUGAGUAACGCGUGGGUAACCUGCCUUAUACAGGGGGAUAACAGUUGGAAACGACUGCUAAUACCGCAUAAGCGCACGGUAUCGCAUGAUACAGUGUGAAAAACUCCGGUGGUAUAAGAUGGCCUCGCGUCUGAUUAGCUAGUUGGCGGGGUAACGGCCCACCUAGUCUUCGAUGGAUAGGGGUUCUGAGAGGAAGGUCCCCACAUUGGAACUGAGACACGGUCCAAACUCC
rnacentral:rRNA from 1 species